UGCCAUGUGGCAGGAAGACAAGGUUUUCCUUUGUGCAGCUGAAGCCAGGCUUGGCUUGCAACAGGAUGGGUAGCCAUGGAGUUGGCUACUGAAAAGGACUGCAGAUCUUUGAGAGACAGGAUUGCAGGAUACUUGAAGCUCAUCAGGUGAGGGGGGCUGCCGGAGAGAGAGGUGAACAUGGACCCACAGAGGUGAGGUUUGUGUGGGAGAAGAGGAGCAGUGUCAGUGCUCGGCUCCAGUCCAGAGGGCAUGGACAGUGAGGCAGGGCGCCAGUCACACCUCACUUCAAGCAACAAAAGGCACUGAGUCAUCUCUGUCAAGAACUGUGUGCCCAAGGUUGGAGAUACCCAGGCCAAGGAGCUCAUGCCAUUCAUUUCUAAAGAGACCAGUAGCAGUCUGGAAGGAUUCUUCUGUUUUAUUGUUUUGGCUUUUGAUCUUUUUGUUGUUGUCUUUGAGUGCAUUAGUAGAAAAGUGCUAUGUGGAUACCGUUAAAUAAAUAAAUAAAGGAAGCAAGCAUGGGCCCAUGUGGUCCGGUAUGAAACUAUA